rnacentral:tRNA from 1 species
UCCUCCGCCGGCAAAAACCAGCGAGUCGGCCUGUACGCCGGAAAACGCGGCAAUUUGCUGUAAAUUGCAGGCGGAA